rnacentral:rRNA from 1 species
CAGUCGCCGCGGUAAUACGUAGGUGGCAAGCGUUGUCCGGAAUUAUUGGGCGUAAAGCGCGCGCAGGCGGCCUAUCCAGUCUGUCUUAAAAGUUCGGGGCUCAACCCCGUGAUGGGAUGGAAACUGCUGAUCUAGAGUACCGGAGAGGAAAGUGGAAUUCCUAGUGUAGCGGUGAAAUGCGUAGAUAUUAGGAAGAACACCAGUGGCGAAGGCGACUUUCUGGACGAAAACUGACGCUGAGGCGCGAAAGCCAGGGGAGCGAACGAGAUUAGAUACCCCUGUAGUCCCUGUCUCUUAUACA